GUUUUUAUAGUUUAAAAUAAAACAUUGGUCUUGUAAAUCAAAAAUAUUAAUUUAUUUAAAAACU
rnacentral:tRNA from 1 species